CCAUGGGAGUUCCAGGGAUCGUG
rnacentral:miRNA from 13 species